rnacentral:rRNA from 1 species
GGCGUGCCUAACACAUGCAAGUCGAACAAGAAAGGGACUUCGGUCCUGAGUACAGUGGCGCACGGGUGAGUAACACGUGACUAACCUACCCUCGAGUGGGGAAUAACUUCGGGAAACCGAGGCUAAUACCGCAUAAUACCCACGGGUCAAAGGAGCAAUUCGCUUGAGGAGGGGGUCGCGGCCGAUUAGCUAGUUGGCGGGGUAAUGGCCCACCAAUGGCAGUGAUCAGGUAUCCGGCCUGAGAGGGCGCACGGACACACUGGAACUGAAACACGGUCCAUACUCCUACGGGAGGCAGCAGUGGGGAAUUUUGCGCAAUGGGGAAACCCUGACGCAUCAACGCCGCGUGGAGGACGAAGUCUCUUGGGACGUAAACUCCUUUCGAUCGGAACGAUUAUGACGGUACCGGAAGAAGAAGCCCCGGCUAACUUCGUGCCAGCAGCCGCGGUAAUACGAGGGGGGCGAGCGUUGUUCGGAAUUAUUGGGCGUAAAGGGUGCGUAGGCGGUUCGGUAAGUUUGAUGUGAAAUCUUCGGGCUCAACUCGAAGUCUGCAUCGAAAACUGCCGGGCUUGAGUGUGGGAGAGGUGAGUGGAAUUUCCGGUGUAGCGGUGAAAUGCGUAGAUAUCGGAAGGAACACCUGUGGCGAAAGCGGCUCACUGGACCACAACUGACGCUGAUGCACGAAAGCUAGGGGAGCAAACAGGAUUAGAUACCCUGGUAGUCCUAGCCCUAAACGAUGAUCGCUUGGUGUGGCGGGUACCCAAUCCCGUCGUGCCGUAUCUAACGCGUUAAGCGAUCAUGAAGCUGGAAUCGCUAGUAAUCGCGGAUCAGCAUGCCGCGGUGAAUACGUUCCCGGGCCUUGUACACACCGCCCGUCACAUCACGAAAGUGGGUCGUACUAGAAGCGGGUGAGCCAACCGUAAGGAGGCAGCCUUCCAAGGUGUGAUUCAUGAUUGGGGUGAAGUCGUAACAAGGUGGCCGUAGGAGAACCUGCGGCUGGAUCACCUCCUUUCU